rnacentral:rRNA from 1 species
AUUGAACGCUGGCGGCAGGCCUAACACAUGCAAGUCGAGCGGAUGAAGGGAGCUUGCUCCUGGAUUCAGCGGCGGACGGGUGAGUAAUGCCUAGGAAUCUGCCUGGUAGUGGGGGAUAACGUCCGGAAACGGGCGCUAAUACCGCAUACGUCCUGAGGGAGAAAGUGGGGGAUCUUCGGACCUCACGCUAUCAGAUGAGCCUAGGUCGGAUUAGCUAGUUGGUGGGGUAAAGGCCUACCAAGGCGACGAUCCGUAACUGGUCUGAGAGGAUGAUCAGUCACACUGGAACUGAGACACGGUCCAGACUCCUACAGGAGGCAGCAGUGGGGAAUAUUGGACAAUGGGCGAAAGCCUGAUCCAGCCAUGCCGCGUGUGUGAAGAAGGUCUUCGGAUUGUAAAGCACUUUAAGUUGGGAGGAAGGGCAGUAAGUUAAUACCUUGCUGUUUUGACGUUACCAACAGAAUAAGCACCGGCUGACUUCGUG